CAAAGUUUUCUGUUUAGCCGAUAGGUGCAGCAAUGGAUUUCCUCUCGCGGUGAGCUACUCUCCGAAAGAAGCACGAGGAAUGCCGUUGAUUCCUGAGUUUGCUAAAAUAGAGAGCACCACAUGCUCUUUGACGUUGAAUGGUCCUGGAUUCAAUGUAAAACUCCAUUUGAUUCCUGGAACUUUGAUCAGAGUAGAGGGAAGCAGAGCUGCCAUCAAUUUUCCAACAAGGCCGAGCAUAAUAAUUACAAAAGUCGGAGGGAAGAAGAACACAACCUGGCGAUAACUGGAGAACUCAUUGACGAAAGCCAGAAAUGCACAUGUAAUAGGACCCAGAAGCCAUGUUCGAAAUGUGAAGGUUGGAAGUGUUGAAUCAUCUGUGAUCGGAACUGUCAACCUCACUUGUUCUACCGGUGAAUCGUUGAUUUCAUCAGAAUCCAUCUCCCCUCCACGACUAACUGUUUUGGCUCUGGUAUUGAGUCUGAACAAAAUGAUAAUAAAAUGAAGGAAUUAAUUUUUCACAGAACCAAACCUAGAUAAUUGAGGAACAAUAAUAUUCAUCUUCAUUUCAUAAAUUGAUGACCAAGAUUUUCUUUUUUUACAUGUACGAUGGAGAAAUUAUAGUCUAUAACGGGUAUCUACUCUUGAUAUA